UCCAAAUGUCCACUUGCAGAUUAUACAAAAAGAGUGUUUCAAAACUGCUCUAUCAAAAGAAAUUUUCAACUCUGUGAGUUGAAUGCAAUCAUCACAAAGAGGUUUCUGACAAUGCUUCCAUCUAGUUUUUAUGUGAAGAUAUUUCCUUUUACACCAUUGGCCUCAAAACGCUCCAAGUGUCCAAUUGCAGAUACUACAAAAAGAGUGUUUCAAAUCUGCUCUA
rnacentral:lncRNA from 1 species